rnacentral:rRNA from 1 species
AUGAACGCUGGCGGCGUGCCUAAUCCAUGCAAGUCGAGCGAACGGACGAGAAGCUUGCUUCUCUGAUGUUCGCGGCGGACGGGUGAGUAACACGUGGAUAACCUACCUAUAAGACUGGGAUAACUUCGGGAAACCGGAGCUAAUACCGGAUAAUAUUUUGAACCGCAUGGUUCAAAAGUGAAAGACGGUCUUGCUGUCACUUAUAGAUGGAUCCGCGCUGCAUUAGCUAGUUGGUAAGGUAACGGCUUACCAAGGCAACGAUGCAUAGCCGACCUGAGAGGGUGAUCGGCCACACUGGAACUGAGACACGGUCCAGACUCCUACGGGAGGCAGCAGUAGGGAAUCUUCCGCAAUGGGCGAAAGCCUGACGGAGCAACGCCGCGUGAGUGAUGAAGGUCUUCGGAUCGUAAAACUCUGUUAUUAGGGAAGAACAUAUGUGUAAGUAACUGUGCACAUCUUGACGGUACCUAAUCAGAAAGCCACGGCUAACUACGUG